CCUACGGGAGGCAGCAGUGAGGAAUAUUGGUCAAUGGCCGGAAGGCUGAACCAGCCAAGCCGCGUGAAGGACGAAGGUGCCAAGCAUUGUAAACUUCUUUUGUCAAGGGACAAAAUCAGGCUCGAGAGCCUGACCGAGGGUACUUGAAGAAAAAGCAUCGGCUAACUCCGUGCCAGCAGCCGCGGUAAUACGGAGGAUCCAAGCGUUAUCCGGAUUUAUUGGGUUUAAAGGGUGCGUAGGCGGAUUGAUAAGUUAGAGGUGAAAUGUCCGGGCUCAACUCGGGAACUGCCUCUAAUACUGUUGAU
rnacentral:rRNA from 1 species